CAGUCGAGCGAGUCUGCCUUGAAGAUCGGAGUGCUUGCACUCUGUGAAACAAGAUACAGGCUAGCGGCGGACGGGUGAGUAACACGUGGGUAACCUGCCCAAGAGAUCGGGAUAACACCUGGAAACAGAUGCUAAUACCGGAUAACAACAGAUGAUGCCUAUCAACUGUUUAAAAGAUGGUUCUGCUAUCACUCUUGGAUGGACCUGCGGUGCAUUAGCUAGUUGGUAGGGUAACGGCCUACCAAGGCGAUGAUGCAUAGCCGAGUUGAGAGACUGAUCGGCCACAUUGGGACUGAGACACGGCCCAAACUCCUACGGGAGGCAGCAGUAGGGAAUCUUCCACAAUGGACGCAAGUCUGAUGGAGCAACGCCGCGUGAGUGAAGAAGGGUUUCGGCUCGUAAAGCUCUGUUGUUGGUGAAGAAGGACAGGGGUAGUAACUGACCUUUGUUUGACGGUAAUCAAUUAGAAAGUCACGGCUAACUACGUGCCAGCAGCCGCGGUAAUACGUAGGUGGCAAGCGUUGUCCGGAUUUAUUGGGCGUAGAGCGAGUGCAGGCGGCUCGAUAAGUCUGAUGUGAAAGCCUUCGGCUCAACCGGAGGAUUGCAUCAGAAACUGUCGAGCUUGAGUACAGAAGAGGAGAGUGGAACUCCAUGUGUAGCGGUGAAAUGCGUAGAUAUAUGGAAGAACACCGGUGGCGAAGGCGGCUCUCUGGUCUGUUACUGACGCUGAGGCUCGAAAGCAUGGGUAGCGAACAGGAUUAGAUACCCUGGUAGUCCAUGCCGUANACGAUGAGUGCUAA
rnacentral:rRNA from 1 species